rnacentral:rRNA from 1 species
AACUAACGCUGGCGGCGUGCCUAACACAUGCAAGUCGUACGAGAAAGCCGGCUUCGGCUGGUGAGUAAAGUGGCGCACGGGUGAGUAACGCGUGGAUAAUCUGCCCUUAAGUGUGGAAUAACGUACCGAAAGGUGCGCUAAUACCGCAUAAUGCCUGGCAACACAAGUUGUCCGGCCAAAGAAGGCCUCUGUUUACAAGCUUUCGCUUCAGGAUGAAUCCGCGUACCAUUAGCUUGUUGGUGGGGUAAUGGCCUACCAAGGCUGCGAUGGUUAGCUGGUCUGAGAGGAUGAUCAGCCACACUGGAACUGAGACACGGUCCAGACUCCUACGGGAGGCAGCAGUGAGGAAUAUUGCGCAAUGGGGGCAACCCUGACGCAGCAACGCCGCGUGAGUGAGGAAGGUUUUCGGACUGUAAAGCUCUGUCGAGCGGGAAGAAGUGUACCAUGGCUAAUAUCCAUGAUAUUUGACGGUACCG